GGGCUCGUGGUUUAGUGGUAUAAUACUCCCUUAGCAUCUCGCAGCUUCACCUGAAGCCGUUCGAAAUUCUGACUGGGAGUGGUCCGGGGUUCGAUUCCCCGCGAGUCCA
rnacentral:tRNA from 1 species